UAGAUCCCUGGUAGUCCACACCGUAACGAUGAUUACUAGGUGUGGAGGAUAGACCCCUUCAGUGCCGCAGUUAACACAAUAAGUAUCCACCUGGGGAGUACGACCGCAAGGUUGAAACUCAAAGGAAUUGACGGGGGCCCGCACAAGCAGUGGAGUAUGUGGUUUAAUUCGACGCAACGCGAAGAACCUUACCAAGUCUUGACAUCCUCUGGCGAUGCUGGAAACAGUAUUUUCCUUCGGGACAGAGAGACAGGUGGUGCAUGGUUGUCGUCAGCUCGUGUCGUGAGAUGUUGGGUUAAGUCCCGCAACGAGCGCAACCCUUAUGGAUAGUUACUACGCAAGAGGACUCUAUUCAGACUGCCGUUGACAAAACGGAGGAAGGUGGGGAUGACGUCAAAUCAUCAUGCCCUUUAUGACUUGGGCUACACACGUACUGCAAUGGCGUUCAACAAAGAGAAGCGAAGCCGCGAGGCAGAGCAAAACUCAAAAACAACGUCCCAGUUCAGAUUGCAGGCUGCAACUCGCCUGCAUGAAGUCGGAAUUGCUAGUAAUCGCAGAUCAGCAUGCUGCGGUGAAUACGUUCCCGGGCCUUGUACACACCGCCCGUCACACCAUGGAAGUCGGUAACACCCGAAGCCUGUAGCCUAACCUUUAGGAGGGCGCAGUCGAAGGUGGGAUCGAUGACUGGGGUUAAGUCGUAACAAGGU
rnacentral:rRNA from 1 species